rnacentral:ncRNA from 1 species
UUCGGAGGGGGGCUUGUAAACAGGCUGAGAGGAAAUUGUGAAUUUCGACCCUAUAACCUGAUAUGGAUAAUGCCAGCGUAGGGAUCGAA